GCUCGAGCAUAAAAGAAUAUUGGUCAAGCGCCCUAGCGGAUAGACGUAAAGCCUGGUGAACACAAAGACGCUAACAUCCUGCAGAAAAGUUCAACAUGGCUGACAACACCGUACGGUCGGAAGAUGUGUAAGGACAAAAGUGGGAUCGUUGCAUUACAGACACCGGUUUACUGUUAACUGUUGAGUUAUCGAUUCCUACAGAACUUAAGUGUGCACCACUGCAGUAUGAUGACAUUUAAGUUUUAUAGACUUUCAUGCAAUAGUUACUGUCACACAGCUCCGGACAUUGAAAGUGGAAGGACGGAGAACCACACAGAAACAAUAUCGGCGAAUGAUGAUGUAUAUUUGUUUUAAGUUUCGUGAAAUAGGUACUGUGAAACAGCCCCGGACGUACAACCUUCCUGAAUUUCAAUCUAUUAAGGGGCAAUAAAUUAAUUACGCGUGCACCGCAGUAUGAUUGAACACAUUCAUAUUAAGUUUAAUGAAAUUUAAUAAAUAAUUAUUGAUAAACACUUCCGGACAUCGCCAAAAUAAUAUUCCUUCACUGUCUUAGAGGGGUAAAACGCCAUCAUAAGGGAGGUGUCAUUUUGUCUACUUACAAGAGUUGGUGCAUUCGGAUUAAAUGCGUAUUCUACAUGCAAUAAUAAAUGCAUGCAAAAAUAAAUAUCUUUCUUGCAACAAGCGUAAAUCUACUGCAAAUCUUAGCAAAACAUUUGCAAACGUAUGUGCGUGUGUAUAGUGACGCAAUCAUACGUUUUUCCAUAGAUAAUUUGUUUCUUAAUGACAAUAUGUUUGUAUUUGAUUAAUAAAACACCUGGAUAUUA